GGAGGGUAUAGCUCAGUGGUAGAGCGUGUGCUUAGCAUGCACAAGGUCCUGGGUUCAAUCCCCAGUAUCUCUG
rnacentral:tRNA from 1 species